rnacentral:rRNA from 1 species
UACGUAGGUCCCGAGCGUUGUCCGGAUUUAUUGGGCGUAAAGCGAGCGCAGGUGGUUUAUUAAGUCUGGUGUAAAAGGCAGUGGCACAACCAUUGUAUGCAUUGGAAACUGGUAGACUUGAGUGCAGGAGAGGAGAGUGGAAUUCCAUGUGUAGCGGUGAAAUGCGUAGAUAUAUGGAGGAACACCGGUGGCGAAAGCGGCUCUCUGGCCUGUAACUGACACUGAGGCUCGAAAGCGUGGGGAGCAAACAGG